AUUGAACGCUGGCGGCAGGCCUAACACAUGCAAGUCGAGCGAGCGGCGGACGUGUGAGUAAUGUAUGGAGCUCUGCCCGAUAGAGGGGGAUAACUACUGGAAACGGUGGCUAAUACCGCAUCCUAUCGGAUGCCCCCAUAUGAGUUUAGCUAGUAGGUGGGGUAAAGGAUCACCUAGGCGACGAUCUCUAGCUGGUCUGAGAGGAUGAUCAGCCACACUGGAACUGAGACACGGACCAGACUCCUACGGGAGGCAGCAGUGGGGAAUAUUGCACAAUGGGCGCAAGCCUGAUGCAGCCAUGCCGCGUGUAUGAAGAAGGCCUUAGGGUUGUAAAGUACUUUCAGCGGGGAGGCGUUACCCGCAGAAGAAGCACCGGCUAACUCCGUGCCAGCAGCCGCGGUAAUAC
rnacentral:rRNA from 1 species